GUUUCCAGUCAUUCAAGGAAAGUGGAGCUGGCCAGUGUUCAGGAUGUGAGGUGACCAAGAUUCAGUGCCAGGCUGGACAGGGAAGUGAAAGUGACCAGAACAGAAAUCGGUGCCUAGAACCACGGGACAGAUUGUAUGCUGAGCGGCGUCUCAGGUCCCUCUUCCUCUCCAGCAUCCAUCCAUCACAAAUCUCCAGGCACCCCCAGUGCAGUUUGCCUUUUGCCCUCAUGCCUUGGAGAGAAGCCAGUUUAUAGGAAAGGAAGACGCCAAGGGUGAGCAUGGCUCUCCUCAGUACCUACUGGUCCCGGACGGUGGAGGGUGGGGAGCAGAGGUGGAGACAUGACUAUGCCUGAGGCAGAAUACAGCAUUAUUUCCAGAAUACGCCAAGGCUUGGCAAAUCUGGAGACUCACACGCCUCUGGGUCUGGGGUGGCCCUCCUCCACAGCACCUCCACAUGCUCCUGCCUGUUUGCUCGGCUCCCUGCAAAUAUUUGCCGUGCUGUUGUUCCUGGCUCUGGGCUGACAGUCAGUGUAGAAUGGGGGAGGGAAGCAAGCCUGGGGCCCACAGGACACAAACACAAGCAUGGACAAAUUGGCUACAAGUCCCUGAAUGCUUGACAGAAGGUCUAUUAAUUUCCUGCGGUGCCAUUUAACAAAUGAGUCAUUUACAGCCUACAGCUCUUCUCGAUGGAAGACACUGAAGGCAAGCCCGGAAGGAGAGCUGUGCCCUUGCGUGGUGGCCAGCUCUCAGGAGGAGCAGAUGCCAGCAGGGAUGAUGACAGAGAGGUGAAUCCAGCAAGCAGUCCUUGCUAGAGGGACCACACUCCUCCAGGUCUGGAGGCCUGACUGCAUCCAUAGUUCAGCUAUGACCCUAUUUCCCCUGUGCUUCUGAAAUCCAACCAGGGCUUACUUUCUCAUCCAAAACUGUGUCACAAAACGUGGCGGCUUUAAAAAUUGAUGUCAUAUGUCACACACAACACCAUAAAGUUACAGGACUGUAACUACACCCUUGGUUGCAGACUUCAUUUUGGCCUGUUGAUCGUUUGGUUGCUUGGUUGGCCGGUUGGAGACAGUCUCUCUGAGUAGCUCAGGCUGCCCCAGGACUUGUUUUGUACUCAAGGCUGGCCUCCAACUCAUAAUCUCCUCACCUCGGGCUUUCAAGGGCUGGGCUAAGUGUGUGCCAUGGCUUAAAGUCUGUAAUGCUUACUCUUGAUUUCAAACAUGAUGGGGUUUACAAUCACCCUGGAAACAAGUCUCUGGGUGCAUCCGAGAGAGUUUCCAGACUGUGUGAACUGAGGAGGGGAAGGCUCACUCUAAACGUGGACAGCACUGUCUUCUGGGUCUUAGGCUGAGUAAAACCUGACUUACAUCAGUAUUCAUUUCCCCUACUUCCCGCUGUAGGUGCAGCCAGACCAUGACAGCUAUGAUGGACUGAAGCCCAUCUUGGAGACAAAUAGACCUUCCCUUGAGUGGUUUUGAUACAACAGUGAGAAUAACAAUCCCCCCCCACACACACACACACACUUUAAUCCCAUCCACUCAAAUCUGGAGCCUAGUCUACAUUACUUGAGAAAAGACCAUGAAGAUUCUAUGGCAAGCCUCAAAUUAAAGACUGGUGAAUAUGAAUUAACCUUUCUCAUUGCUGGUACCAAAUCCUGACACAAUACAAUGAACUAACAGAAGGGUUUAUUCUGGCUCCCAAUUUGAGUAGACAGAUUAUGGUGGGAGGCUUGGCACGGUGGCAGGAGCAUGAGGCACACGGUCCGUUUCACCAAGCUCACUUACUUUCUCCUUUCUGCGUAGUCCAGAAUUCCAGCCCAUGCAAUGGUGCGUCCCAUAUUUGGUGGCUCUUCCGACCUCCAGAACCUACUCUAGAAAACCGCCCCCAGCCACGCCCAGAAGCUCGUGGCGUCAGUGGCUCUAGAUCCUGUUGAGUUGAUGAUAUCAGACAUCACACUCUGUAAAGCGCCACAAGAGAGAUCAGAUGAUAAAAGAGCAUCUAAGGACUCGGGAGAAGCUGGCCAGGGAGCCCAUGAUCAAAUCAUGCACAAAUACGGGUUCCACGUUUGGCUCUGGGAGGGGCUCAGCACUCCCGGCUGGCCUGUCAGGGGAUGCGGGCUGCCCUUUCUUUUGCUUCAUCCUGCAGCAAGGCAGAGACCCUCCCACCCACAAAAAUCUGCUCCAGCCUUGAGCUUGCAUCGCGAAAUCUACCCAACACUCUGAGGAACGACAGAGCCCCAGCAUACAGACACAUGAAAAAGCUCCGGAGAUGGUUUUUACUACAGUGCUUGACAAACACGUGUGAGGACCUGAGUUUGAUGCUCCUGACCCCAGGUAAGAAAGCUGGGUAUAAAAGUAUGUACUUGGACUUCCAGUUAUGUGCAAGCACACUCUGGAGAAUCCCUGGGUGAACGCUCCCUUACGUGGUAAAUAUCAUCUUAAAGAAUCAGGUGGGGACUGAAAGAGACACCUCAGCCCUUAAAAAGUACAUCCUGCCGUCACAGAGGACCCUCAUUUGGUUCCCAGCAGCCAGGCUAGGUGGCUCUCAACUGCCUGUUA